GGUGGCUGUAGUUCAGCGGUAGAGCACCUGAUUGUGGUUCAGGAUGUCGCGAGUUCGAAUCUCGUCAGCCACCCCGA
rnacentral:tRNA from 1 species